GGUGGCCGUGGAGCUCCUUAAUCUUUGCUUCAACUCACAGGCUGAGUGUCUGCCCUGUUUUGUCACCAUGGACCUAUUUGGCAUUACUGGGUAUUACCUUGAUCUAUGAGUUGACUUCCUGGCUGGAGCUGGGACCUGCCUCCUCACUGUAGUGUUGUAUUGUGAUGGGGCUGUGGGUUGCCCCUGGCUACUGUCUUCUACCCCCUGACUUGAGGAUGCCCUAUCUUUUAGGGAGCAGCCAGCCCUUGCUGUGUGCUGACGUUGUGUUCCUAGAUCUGCUGCUGAUUCGACAUGCAGAAAGAUUUGAAGAGCCUUCUCCCUGGGACUCGUACAAUAAUCUUGCUCUUUGAGAGAAGAAAUAAGGGUGACACCGUUACAUUUUUAAGGGCAAACGUUCUUCUUGAGCAACAGGUAAGUGUGUUUUUGCUGAUGUUCUUGUAGGUGUUGGCAGAGGCACAUCCGCCGAUGACAGAGCCCUCCGGAUGCCUCUUUACUGGCCCAUUACAAAGCUGCUCAGCAAGGUUGGUCACUGUCAAGAUGAUGGCAUUGAGUACAUUGAGAAGAGUGGUGAUGGAAAUGAGGAAACAAUCAGGAACUGUGCUGGAAAAACAUGCCAAGGAUUCGCUGCAGUCAGAUUCGAGGUGCUGCCCCCCAAAUUACAACCUGUAAUAGACCUCGUUACACCACAGCAUCAUCAGGUUACCUUCAGCACUACGCCAGAACCCCAUGACGCUUCGAUGGGUCUGAAAGCAGCAGCCCAUUUAGAAGGAAAUUUUCAAAACACUCAACUACUCCGGCAUCGUGGGAGGAAGCUGAAAGAUGUUGGCAUUUCAUGAGGCAAUAUCUUCACUUCAGCAGCCAGAGACCAAGUGUCCCCUUUCAGCACUCGGGAACAUAUGUGCCUGGCAGUGGUUAUUAGCAGCAGGCUAAGAAUCACAACGUGCAAUUAUUUGUGAUGACACUGACAUUUGAGGGCUGCGUUUUCCUCAGCACCUGCCUUACAGAUUUCCCUCCACCUGGUAGUCUGCAACAGGAUCUCUUCUAAUGAGUUUUCAAAUAGAUCCCAUGAAUCUUCAUUACAUCUUGUGGGAAUCCGGCAUGUUAUAAAUAGGAAUGGCUCCAAGAAUGAUAAGAAUGUUCUCCUAUCGUUGCCGAACCGACCUAGAUUUUGUUAAAAGGGAAAGCUGAUAAAUUUGAGCUUACUUGUGCAUCUAGGAUGCUAUAGUGGUCAAAACCGGUGAGGAGAAGUCAAACAUAGUCCUACUUCUGUAAAUAUACAAAGCAUGGUUGAUUAGAACCUUGGUGGGCCAUGGGAUUUCCAAAGGAGCUUUCUGCAUUGAUAUAAUAUUAAAGUAGGGUUUGAUAGAUUACAUUUCUUUUACUGUAAAGCAAAACAAUAAAAGCAUAGACAGUAUGAAAAGAUGAGACAGAAUUUUGCACUGGGAGUGCAGUCUGUGCCCAACCAACCACUCUGUUAUCAGGUUGAGAUAACAAGCGUGUUGUGAUUAAUAACUACAAAAGAAGUUUCUGAGGAUUAGGUACUUCACAAGUAAUCCUUAAUAGCUCUAUGCAGCAGGUUUCCUGCUAACACUGUUUUGAUCCCCAUCUCGAGGAGCCAUAAACGAGCUUCAGACCAUUGCCUUUGGUGAAAAAACCCUGAUUUAUACCAGCAGAGAGUAUUUCCUUUGCAUUGCCGGGAUUGUUGCUGCACAGUUUCAUUGUUCUAAAUGUGAAAAAACCAAGCAGCAGCCAAGGCUUAUUUCUGGUUGUGUCACAGGUGAACUUUAGUCGCCAAACUCAAUGAAAGGAAUUGCAGAUAAAAUGAAAUCCAUGCCAUCUUAAGGUAAUUAUCGAGUAUUAAUAAAGUCUUAGAAAUGUAGUUGAAUCAUAGUUCAUAGGUUUUAAGAACUUCUUGAGAAACCUGAUGUAUGUGAGAUGCUGCUUCUCAGUUUUUCUUUUAAAUCUCCAAUCAUUGUGCACAAUUUCAUCAUAUUCAAUUCUAUUUUGAUAGAGAUAAAUGCACAUUUGAGAUGUUUUCUAGGCUGGAUGUUCAUUGCCUGGUCCUUGUGUAUUACAUUAUGUGGCUCUUUCAUAAUUAUAAGGAUUUAUCUACUCAGAAUUCUUCCAAACCGGCUCUUCAGGCAUAGUUCCAGCAUAGGUUGUACUAAAGGGGAAAAAGAUACUUUAAAGCUGAAGUAGAGCACCUAGCAUGGUAAUUAUUCUUGACUUGCUAUUUUGGUAAACUUCCAGAUGCAGACAAAUCCUAAGAGAUCAAUUAAA